rnacentral:rRNA from 1 species
GACGAACGCUGGCGGCGUGCUUAACACAUGCAAGUCGAACGGAAAGGCCCUGCUUUUGUGGGGUGCUCAAGUGGCGAACGGGUGAGUAACACGUGAGUAACCUGCCCUUGACUUUGGGAUAACUUCAGGAAACUGGGGCUAAUACCGGAUAGGAGCUCCUGCUGCAUGGUGGGGGUUGGAAAGUUUCGGCGGUUGGGGAUGGACUCGCGGCUUAUCAGCUUGUUGGUGGGGUAGUGGCUUACCAAGGCUUUGGCGGGUAGCCGGCCUGAGAGGGUGACCGGCCACAUUGGGACUGAGAUACGGCCCAGACUCCUACGGGAGGCAGCAGUGGGGAAUAUUGCACAAUGGGCGGAAGCCUGAUGCAGCAACGCCGCGUGCGGGAUGACGGCCUUCGGGUUGUAAACCGCUUUCGCCUGUGACGAAGCGUGAGUGACGGUAAUGGGUAAAGAAGCACCGGCUAACUACGUG